AGGCGGCCUGUCUUUACACCGCUUGCCGUCAAGAAGACAAGCCACGCACUGUAAAGGGUACUAAAGACAUUAAUAGGUGAUGAAGUGAUAUCUUGUGCGGGGAUUCAACGAGAAUUUGGGGCUGUGAGUAGGCCUGGAUCGAGAUUGGGGAGGGAAAACGAAACGAAAAACCCUAAUCGAUUGCUGAUUGUUUCUCCCCACGGUAACUCUGCGUCGUUGCUGAUGGUUCUUGCUUUUCCGUCUAUGCCACCUCACUCCUGGUAUUCUUCAUCCAGGUCUUUAUAUUUAAAGAUUCAUUGUCAUUUGAAGUGGUAUUCUCAAUCCAUGUCUUUAUUAUAUGGGGCCUUUAAUUCAUUUUUCUGCAAUUUUGGGGAAAUUUCAACUCUUUCAUUUUGAUUUCAUCAUUUCUUGUUGGAGAACUAUGAAUUUCGUGAUUUCAUUGCUCAAUUCAUUUUAAAUAUAGCAUUAUUCCCAAUUUCAAGUAGGUUUUUGAUCUGUUUUUGUGUUCCCUCUAAGUCUAAAGAUACACAGGCACUUAGACUCCUUGAUGAUCAAAGGGACAGCUGUAGAUGAACUCAUGAACGUGGUCUAUAUGCUCUUUGAUGGAUUGGAACCUGGAACAUCAACUGUUUCAGUUGUCACAAGAAGAAUAUUAUGACCAUUGGAGCUCAAGACAGCUUGCUGCAGCUGCCAAACUUAUCGAAGCAAGGCAUACUAAGAAUCAGAGGACGAGAAGAAAGGAGAAAGAGGCGCAGG
rnacentral:lncRNA from 1 species